UGGGGAAUAUUGGACAAUGGGCGCAAGCCUGAUCCAGCCAUGCCGCGUGAGUGAUGAAGGUCUUCGGAUCGUAAAGCUCUGUGGGAAGGGAAGAAAAAAGUAUACCUCAUACGUAUGCUCUUGACGGUACCUUCUUAGCAAGCACCGGCUAACUCUGUGCCAGCAGCCGCGGUAAUACAGAGGGUGCAAACGUUGCUCGGAAUUAUUGGGCGUAAAGCGCACGUAGGCGGUCUGAUAAGUCGGAUGUGAAAGCCCUCGGCUUAACCGAGGAAGUGCAUCCGAAACUGCCAGGCUUGAGUAUGGAAGAGGGUCUCGGAAUUCCCGGUGUAGAGGUGAAAUUCGUAGAUAUCGGGAGGAACACCAGUGGCGAAGGCGGAGACCUGGGCCAAUACUGACGCUGAGGUGCGAAAGCGUGGGGAGCAAACA
rnacentral:rRNA from 1 species